rnacentral:rRNA from 1 species
UUCCGGUUGAUCCUGCCGGAAGUUGCUGCUAUUGGGGUUCGACUAAGCCAUGCAAGUCUAGGGGGUGUUUCGGCACCACCGGCAAAAUGCUCAGUAACACGUUGCUAACCUGCCUUUAGAUUUGGGAUAACCUUGGGAAACUGAGGGUAAUACCGAAUAGAGGAAUUGUUCUGGAAAUGAUCUUUCCUUCAAAGCUCCGGCGUCUAAAGAUGGGGCAGCGGCGGAUUAGGUUGUUGGCGGGGUAAUUGCCCACCAAGCUGAUGAUCCGUACGGGCCGUGAGAGCGGAAGCCCGGAGAGGGACACUGAGAUACUGGUCCCAGCCCUACGGGGUGCAGCAGGCGCGAAACCUUUACAAUGCACGAAAGUGUGAUAAGGGAACCCCAAGUGCUCAUGCAUUGCAUGGGCUUUUGCCAAGUGUAAAUAGCUUGGAGAAUAAGUGGUGGGUAAGACUGGUGCCAGCAGCCGCGGUAACACCAGCGCCACGAGUGGGGACCAGCUUUAUUUGGCCUAAAGCGUCCGUAGCUGGUUAUGUAAAUCCUUUGUGAAAUCAUCAAGCUUAACUUGAUGGCUUGCAGGGGACACUGCAUAACUUGAGACCGGGAGGAGUUAGGGGUAUUCUAAGGGGAGCGGUAAAAUGCUAUAAUCCUUAGAGGACCACCUGUGGCGAAGGCGCCUAACUAGAACGGAUCUGACAGUGAGGGACGAAAGCUAGGGGAGCGAUCCGGAUUAGAUACCCGAGUAGUCCUAGCCGUAAACGCUGUGAGCAAGGCGUUGCAUAUUCUCCAUGAAUGUGCAGUGUCGAAACGAAGGUGUUAAGCUCACUGCUUGGGAAGUAUGGUCGCAAGACUGAAACUUAAAGGAAUUGGCGGGGGAGCACCACAAGGGGUGCGGCGUGCGGUUUAAUCUAACUCAACGCAGAGAACCUCACCAGAAGCGACGGCAGUAUGAAAGUCAGUCUAAAGGGCUUACUCGACGAGCCGAGAGGUAGUGCAUGGCCAUCGUCAGCUCGUGCCGUAAGGUGUCCUGUUAAGUCAGGCAACGAGCGAGACCCA